rnacentral:rRNA from 1 species
UACAGAUGUCUCAAGCGUUGUUCGGAUUCAUUGGCGUAAAGGGUGCGUAGGUGGCGCUGUAAGUCGGGUGUGAAAUUUCGGAGCUUAACUCCGAAACUGCAUUCGAUACUGCGGUGCUUGAGGACUGGAGAGGAGACUGGAAUUCAUGGUGUAGCAGUGAAAUGCGUAGAGAUCAUGAGGAAGACCAGUGGCGAAGGCGGGUCUCUGGACAGCUCCUGACACUGAGGCACGAAGGCCAGGGGAGCAAACGGG